UACGUAGGGGGCGAGCGUUGUCCGGAUUUAUUGGGCGUAAAGGGUUCGCAGGCGGCCUUUUAAGUCAGAUGUGAAAGAUCACGGCUCAACCGUGGUAAGCAUUUGAAACUGGAAGGCUUGAGUUAAGGAGAGAAAAGUGGAAUUCCUAGUGUAGCGGUGAAAUGCGUAGAUAUUAGGAGGAAUACCAGUGGCGAAGGCGACUUUCUGGACUUAUACUGACGCUGAGGAACGAAAGCGUGGGGAGCAAACAGG
rnacentral:rRNA from 1 species